rnacentral:sRNA from 1 species
UUUAACUUCUGUGUCAUAUGAGGUCUGGAAUGAGUCAUAUGAACACUGGAAUUGUGGAAUUGGAGAAGAGAAUGAGGACCCACACACUAUGAUAAAAGUUAAAAAGCAAGUCAAAGAGUUCCUUCUCUUGUACUCAUAUCUGCACCACGUCUAGAACAACUUCCCUUCCCAAGAGAAUAAAAAUACAUUUUUUGUUUUUCCCUGCAAUACUCUGUAGUACUACUGUUCUGGAAUUUCAGUUCUCAUGCAACAUACCGGCCCCUUUGCACAGUGAAAACGAUUAUUUUGGAGUCUGUUCAGAGCCAGUGAUCAAAGACAAUGUAGUUGUGGUUUAUGAGGUAUUGGAAGAGAUGCUUGACAAUGGUUUUCCAUUGGCUACCGAGUCGAACAUUCUUAAAGAACUCAUAAAGCCUCCCACCAUCCUUCGAACGGUUGUCAACACCAUCACAGGAAGCACGAAUGUGGGUGACCAGCUUCCCACUGGGCAGCUGUCAGUGGUGCCUUGGCGACGGACUGGGGUGAAAUACACCAACAAUGAGGCCUAUUUUGAUGUGAUUGAAGAGAUUGAUGCAAUUAUUGAUAAAUCAGGCUCCACAAUUACUGCUGAGAUCCAGGGGGUGAUUGAUGCCUGUGUCAAGCUGACUGGCAUGC